ACCUGGCUGGCUCAGUCAAGAGAGCAUGUGAUUCUUGAUCUCAGGGUUGUGAGUUCAAGUCCCACAUUAGGCG
rnacentral:tRNA from 1 species